GACUCUAGUUUUGCCUCUAGGGAAAUUGAGGUUGAGGCAGCAACGACUCCUGGGUGACCUGCUUCAGCCGCGUUAGGUGAGAUACCUGUUGCAAGUGCUGAGUCUAAACCGGUGGUGGGGAGCGCGCAACUACAACUCCCAGACUUCCCCGGGCUUGGUCCCUGCCGGUUCUAAUGAACCAGACUAGCCAAUGGGAACCCAGAGCGGGCUGGGGCGGGGCCCUGGCGGGGCGGGGCCGCGGGGAGGUGGGCGGUGAGCUGCUCUGGGAGCCAGUCGCGCCAAGAGCGCAGAGCCCAGGAGUCGCGCGUGUGGAGGGUGCUCGGGCGGGCGACGCGGGACCUCUAGGGCCAUGGCACCCCCUGUCAGAGGAAAAAGGAAGCAGUCAGAGGAGGGUGACCCUGUAGAUGCCCCUGUGUCCCCUAAUCCUGAUGGUGAGCAGAGCAGGAGUCAGAGCCUGAUCCAGCUGGAGGACUCCCCCGAGGCAGGCGGGGAGCGGGAGGAGGAGCAGGCCUUCCUGGUCAGCCUCUACAAGUUCAUGAAGGAGCGGCACACACCCAUCGAAAGGGUGCCC
rnacentral:lncRNA from 1 species